AGAGUUUGAUCCUGGCUCAGAGCGAACGCUGGCGGCGUGCUUAACACAUGCAAGUCGAACGCGCAGCAGUUUGUAGCAAUACAGAUUGUGGGCGCGUGGCGAACGGGUGCGUAACACGUGGAUAACCUUCCUUCAGGUGGGGAAUAACCCAGUGAAAAUUGGGCUAAUACCGCAUAACAUGACGAUGGCUCAUGCCGUUGUCUUCAAAGGCGCAAGUCGCCAGAAGAGGGAUCCGCGGCCGAUUAGCUAGUUGGCGAGGUAAUGGCUCACCAAGGCUUUGAUCGGUAGCCGGACUGAGAGGUUGGCCGGCCACACUGGAACUGAGACACGGUCCAGACUCCUACGGGAGGCAGCAGUGGGGAAUCUUGCACAAUGGACGAAAGUCUGAUGCAGCAACGCCGCGUGGGGGAGGAAGCUUUUCGGAGUGUAAACCCCUUUCGACCCG
rnacentral:rRNA from 1 species